rnacentral:tRNA from 1 species
GCGAGGGUGGCGGAACUGGCAGANNCGCGCCAGACUUAGGAUCUGGUGCCGCAAGGCGUGGGGGUUCAAAUCCCCCCCUUCGUACCA